UACAGAGGGGGCAAGCGUUAUUCGGAAUUAUUGGGCGUAAAGGGCGCGUAGGCGGCCUGGCAAGUGGAUGGUGAAAUCCCUCGGCUUAACCGAGGAACUGCCAUCCAGACUGCUUGGCUUGAGACCGGGAGAGGUGAGUGGAAUUCCCAGUGUAGCGGUGAAAUGCGUAGAUAUUGGGAGGAACACCAGUGGCGAAGGCGGCUCACUGGACCGGUACUGACGCUGAGGCGCGAAAGCUAGGGGAGCAAACAGG
rnacentral:rRNA from 1 species